UACGGAGGGUGCAAACGUUGCUCGGAAUCAUUGGGCGUAAAGCGCACGUAGGCGGCCAAGCAAGUUGGAUGUGAAAGCCCAGGGCUCAACCCUGGAAGUGCAUCCAAAACUGCAUGGCUUGAGUCCCGGAGGGGCCCAGAGAAUUCUCGGUGUAGAGGUGAAAUUCGUAGAUAUCGGGAGGAAUACCAGUGGCGAAGGCGCUGGGCUGGACGGGAACUGACGCUGAGGUGCGAAAGCGUGGGUAGCAAACAGG
rnacentral:rRNA from 1 species